rnacentral:rRNA from 1 species
UACGAAGGGGGCUAGCGUUGCUCGGAAUUACUGGGCGUAAAGGGAGCGUAGGCGGAUAGUUUAGUCAGAGGUGAAAGCCCAGGGCUCAACCUUGGAAUUGCCUUUGAUACUGGCUAUCUUGAGUAUGGGAGAGGUAAGCGGAACUCCGAGUGUAGAGGUGAAAUUCGUAGAUAUUCGGAAGAACACCAGUGGCGAAGGCGGCUUACUGGCCCAUUACUGACGCUGAUGCUCGAAAGCGUGGGGAGCAAACAGG